rnacentral:rRNA from 1 species
ACUCUAAGCGGUGGAUCACUCGGCUCAUGGGUCGAUGAAGAACGCAGCAAACUGUGCGUCAUCGUGUGAACUGCAGGACACAUGAACAUCGACAUUUUGAACGCAUAUCGCAGUCCAUGCUGUUAUGUACUUUAAUUAAUUUUAUAGUGCUGCUUGGACUACAUAUGGUUGAGGGUUGUAAGACUAUGCUAAUUAAGUUGCUUAUAAAUUUUUAUAAGCAUAUGGUAUAUUAUUGGAUAAAUAUAAUAAUUUUUAUUCAUAAUAUUAAAAAAUAAAUGAAAAACAUUAUCUCACAUUUGAAUGUGAAAAACGAAGAGAAAUAUUUUCUUUUUCAAUCAAAUAAUACUGAGAAAUGUCUAGCAUAAAAAAUUGAAAUAUUUUUCAUCUAGAAUUGUCUCUUAUUAAUGAUUCGGAAAUAGAAAAAUCUUGGUUAUGUUAUUAUUCUUCGUUGGUUCGUUAAAAAUGGAUAAAUAAAAACUUUGCAUACAAGAAUUAAUAAAAAUGUUAUAACGAAUUUAAUUAAAUGUUUUAUCAUUAUAUAUAAAGAAUUUAUGGCAAGAUAAAGUUAUAUACAACCUCAACUCAUAUGGGACUACCCCCUGAAUUUAAGCAUAUUAAUUAGGGGAGGAAAAGAAACUAACAAGGAUUUUCUUAGUAGCGGCGAGCGAAAAGAAAACAGUUCAGCACUAAGUCACUUUGUCUAUAUGGCAAAUGUGAGAUGCAGUGUAUGGAGCGUCAAUAUUCUAGUAUGAGAAAUUAACGAUUUAAGUCCUUCUUAAAUGAGGCCAUUUACCCAUAGAGGGUGCCAGGCCCGUAUAACGUUAAUGAUUACUAGAUGAUGUUUCCAAAGAGUCGUGUUGCUUGAUAGUGCAGCACUAAGUGGGUGGUAAACUCCAUCUAAAACUAAAUAUAACCAUGAGACCGAUAGUAAACAAGUACCGUGAGGGAAAGUUGAAAAGAACUCUGAAUAGAGAGUUAAACAGUACGUGAAACUGCUUAGAGGUUAAGCCCGAUGAACCUGAAUAUCCGUUAUGGAAAAUUCAUCAUUAAAAUUGUAAUAUUUAAAUAAUAUUAUGAGAAUAGUGUGCAUUUUUUCCAUAUAAGGACAUUGUAAUCUAUUAGCAUAUACCAAAUUUAUCAUAAAAUAUAACUUAUAGUUUAUUCCAAUUAAAUUGCUUGCAUUUUAACACAGAAUAAAUGUUAUUAAUUUGAUAAAGUGCUGAUAGAUUUAUAUGAUUACAGUGCGUUAAUUUUUCGGAAUUAUAUAAUGGCAUAAUUAUCAUUGAUUUUUGUGUUUAUUAUAUGCACUUGUAUGAUUAACAAUGCGAAAGAUUCAGGAUACCUUCGGGACCCGUCUUGAAACACGGACCAAGGAGUCUAACAUAUGUGCAAGUUAUUGGGAUAUAAACCUAAUAGCGUAAUUAACUUGACUAAUAAUGGGAUUAGUUUUUUAGCUAUUUAUAGCUAAUUAACACAAUCCCGGGGCGUUCUAUAUAGUUAUGUAUAAUGUAUAUUUAUAUUAUUUAUGCCUCUAACUGGAACGUACCUUGAGCAUAUAUGCUGUGACCCGAAAGAUGGUGAACUAUACUUGAUCAGGUUGAAGUCAGGGGAAACCCUGAUGGAAGACCGAAACAGUUCUGACGUGCAAAUCGAUUGUCAGAAUUGAGUAUAGGGGCGAAAGACCAAUCGAACCAUCUAGUAGCUGGUUCCUUCCGAAGUUUCCCUCAGGAUAGCUGGUGCAUUUUAAUAUUAUAUAAAAUAAUCUUAUCUGGUAAAGCGAAUGAUUAGAGGCCUUAGGGUCGAAACGAUCUUAACCUAUUCUCAAACUUUAAAUGGGUAAGAACCUUAACUUUCUUGAUAUGAAGUUCAAGGUUAUGAUAUAAUGUGCCCAGUGGGCCACUUUUGGUAAGCAGAACUGGCGCUGUGGGAUGAACCAAACGUAAUGUUACGGUGCCCAAAUUAACAACUCAUGCAGAUACCAUGAAAGGCGUUGGUUGCUUAAAACAGCAGGACGGUGAUCAUGGAAGUCGAAAUCCGCUAAGGAGUGUGUAACAACUCACCUGCCGAAGCAACUAGCCCUUAAAAUGGAUGGCGCUUAAGUUGUAUACCUAUACAUUACCGCUAAAGUAGAUGAUUUAUAUUACUUGUGAUAUAAAUUUUGAAACUUUAGUGAGUAGGAAGGUACAAUGGUAUGCGUAGAAGUGUUUGGCGUAAGCCUGCAUGGAGCUGCCAUUGGUACAGAUCUUGGUGGUAGUAGCAAAUAAUCGAAUGAGACCUUGGAGGACUGAAGUGGAGAAGGGUUUCGUGUGAACAGUGGUUGAUCACGAGUUAGUCGGUCCUAAGUUCAAGGCGAAAGCCGAAAAUUUUCAAGUAAAACAAAAAUGCCUAACUAUAUAAACAAAGCGAAUUAUAAUACACUUGAAUAAUUUUGAACGAAAGGGAAUACGGUUCCAAUUCCGUAACCUGUUGAGUAUCCGUUUGUUAUUAAAUAUGGGCCUCGUGCUCAUCCUGGCAACAGGAACGACCAUAAAGAAGCCGUCGAGAGAUAUCGGAAGAGUUUUCUUUUCUGUUUUAUAGCCGUACUACCAUGGAAGUCUUUCGCAGAGAGAUAUGGUAGAUGGGCUAGAAGAGCAUGACAUAUACUGUUGUGUCGAUAUUUUCUCCUCGGACCUUGAAAAUUUAUGGUGGGGACACGCAAACUUCUCAACAGGCCGUACCAAUAUCCGCAGCUGGUCUCCAAGGUGAAGAGUCUCUAGUCGAUAGAAUAAUGUAGGUAAGGGAAGUCGGCAAAUUAGAUCCGUAACUUCGGGAUAAGGAUUGGCUCUGAAGAUUGAGAUAGUCGGGCUUGAUUGGGAAACAAUAACAUGGUUUAUGUGCUCGUUCUGGGUAAAUAGAGUUUCUAGCAUUUAUGUUAGUUACUUGUUCCCCGGAUAGUUUAGUUACGUAGCCAAUUGUG